UGAUCCUGGCUCAGAUUGAACGCUGGCGGCAGGCCUAACACAUGCAAGUCGAGCGGAAACGAGUUAUCUGAACCUUCGGGGAACGAUAACGGCGUCGAGCGGCGGACGGGUGAGUAAUGCCUAGGAAAUUGCCCUGAUGUGGGGGAUAACCAUUGGAAACGAUGGCUAAUACCGCAUAAUACCUACGGGUCAAAGAGGGGGACCUUCGGGCCUCUCGCGUCAGGAUAUGCCUAGGUGGGAUUAGCUAGUUGGUGAGGUAAUGGCUCACCAAGGCGACGAUCCCUAGCUGGUCUGAGAGGAUGAUCAGCCACACUGGAACUGAGACACGGUCCAGACUCCUACGGGAGGCAGCAGUGGGGAAUAUUGCACAAUGGGCGCAAGCCUGAUGCAGCCAUGCCGCGUGUGUGAAGAAGGCCUUCGGGUUGUAAAGCACUUUCAGUCGUGAGGAAGGUAGUGUAGUUAAUAGCUGCAUUAUUUGACGUUAGCGACAGAAGAAGCACCG
rnacentral:rRNA from 1 species